rnacentral:rRNA from 1 species
ACGUAGGGUGCAAGCGUUGUCCGGAAUUAUUGGGCGUAAAGAGCUCGUAGGCGGUUUGUCGCGUCUGCUGUGAAAACCCGAGGCUCAACCUCGGGCCUGCAGUGGGUACGGGCAGACUAGAGUGCGGUAGGGGAGAUUGGAAUUCCUGGUGUAGCGGUGGAAUGCGCAGAUAUCAGGAGGAACACCAAUGGCGAAGGCAGAUCUCUGGGCCGUAACUGACGCUGAGGAGCGAAAGCAUGGGGAGCGAACAGGAUUAGAUACCCUGGUAGUCCAUGCCGUAAACGUUGGGAACUAGAUGUGGGGACCAUUCCACGGUCUCCGUGUCGCAGCUAACGCAUUAAGUUCCCCGCCUGGGGAGUACGGCCGCAAGGCUA